UACUGUACUGUAGUGCAGGGAGAAAAAAGAAGCGUAAAAAUAACACCUGAAAUGGUGUAGAAAAGAUACAAAUCUCAACAGUUACAAGAAUAUCAGUAAGAAAGCUUGUAACAGAAUCAUUCUUUUACAAAGAGGUUUUCUCCUUUAUCUCAGCAUAAAAUGAAUCAAACAGCACUGAAAACCCCAAACAGUGAAAGGACAGGAUGGCAGAAGAGAUGAAUCCAUGAACACACAGUAAACAACCAGAAUCCUUGGUUGCAGGUAAAACAGAGCAAUGCCUCUCCCAUGUCCACCAGGGCCUGCAGAAAGUGCCUAACACUGGGUACUGAAGACAUCUGAUACUGGGAAUCCAUGACUGCCUGAAGUCAGCACAACCUACCCAUGCUCAGCACUUCUUGGUUAGUGAAGCCCUAAACAGCAAGUCAUGAACCUCAGCAAUCAUCAGUCUGCAUCCUGCAUGUGUUUUCCUGGAAGCUUCAAAACAAUACUGAACCAGUAUUGUUGAAAGGAUGAGCAAGACUCUUGAUUCAGGCUUACUGACAAAGCAGUGGGAAUAGAAGACCAAUUCUCUACUUAAGCUCCACAAUAGCAUUAAUUGUUUGGUUCUGCUCAUGUAUGAAAACAACUUACAUAAUGGGAAUAAAUUUAGCUCUUGCCAAGAAGCUGCCAAUAUAACUCCCAGCAGUCUGCCUGAUUACUGAAGGAUUGUUUGGAUCCUGCAGUUUCUUCCAAAGAUGGUCUAAAAAUGCUUCAGCAAAUCCCUGGAAAAAAAGAUAUAUAGAAAUUGUGAGAUGACACUGUUUAAGCAACAGAUUCCUAAUACUCAAUUCCCAUAAUUUCCAUUACCAAACCAUUACAAAAAUCUACAUAUAACUGCAGUAAAUAGCCACACCUACACAUGAUGGAAGAGCAUUCAUUUCUGGGUCUUUUUCUACACUCAGUUGUAAAAGAGAGAACAAUAGCUUGUUGAGAGACAUAGAAAAAUGGAGGGGUGGGGGAAAAACAAACACAGACACGAUUUUCAAAUCAAAGAGCUAACAGACAGCAUCUCUGCAAUAGUUUUGGGAUGCUGAAGAAAUUCGCAUUCCAUGUCCUGGGUCUAACUGAUUCUUGUCAAAGAGAUCAGUUCUAACCAAGCUUGUUCCUUCACACUUGCUAAGAUACCAUCUGUAAGUGGUUUAUGAACAGCAUGGGAAGAGCAACCAUAAAGAAAAAGAAAGCAGUAACAGAGAAGGAAAAGAAAGUGAAGAUACUAAUGUACUUGCUAUCUUCAGAGUCAAAUUACAGCAGAGAAAACUUUUUUGUAAAAGAAACCAAAACAAGGAUGCAGAAAUGACAGAGGACACUGCAUUUUAAAACCAGCUUUUUACUCACCAAUUUAAAGCUACAGAUGUAGAACAUGAAAUACUGUACAUGACAUGAAGCAUGGGUUGGUAAAAUGAGCUUGUCAAAGACAGAAACCAGAUCCCGAUACAAAUCCUUCGUGUUGUUGAUGUCAAGCUUGCCUACACAACAAAGAAACAGAACAAAAUGAGCCAUUUCAGGGGUUUUUUUUCCCCAUCCUCAUGCUGCAGAACUGGUAUUUAUAUCUUUCUACACCAGCAAGAAAUAUGUAAAGAAAAACUGUCAACCUGAGUUCUCAAGUUUAUCUGACAUCUAAAAAUCCAGGUGUACAACUCUACUGCUUUUUAAGGUGCUAUAAAUGCAGACUCUCUCUGUGUGAGUGUGCACAUAUAUAAAGCUGCUAGACAUGCAAACUUUGUAAUAAUAUGUUAGAAGAGCAAGAAAAAACACAAAUAAAUCACCUGACUUACGUGAAGAAGAUACAGCAUAAUGGUUUCUAACUGUUGUUUUAAAUAUAUAAAUCUCAGGAAUUCAAACCCUUAAUACAUAACAGUUAAAGAUAUUUAUUUCUUUUUCUUUCUCCUGUAAUAAAGCCAAUUGAUUGAUGUGUCUGGUUGUUUUGAUCUACUUCCAGUCCUUGUGCUGUUGAAAGGAUCCAUAAUUCUUACACUCAAGUAGAGCAAAUGAUAAAAACAUUUAUACCCUACUACAGUUUGGAUACAGUAUCAUGUUAAUGGAAUCAGGAUGUCUCCAAGUGAAGACUAAACCUCUGAAGCCCUAACUGCACCUCUGUCAGCACCUGGGCAGAGGCAGGAAUGUGGACUACAGCCUGCUAAUGGCAGAGUUCUGCUCUAUCUCACAGUACAGAGAGAAAGAACUCCUCUUGUGUGUUUCUUACUUGUUAGCAAAACAACAGAUUUGGUUAGAGAGCAAGGGUUCUCACCAUCCACAUGGCAAACAUCUCUAAUGUAGGAGAACAGGAUGGUCAUCAGGAUGUCCAGGCGCUCUGCAAGUGGAUGGGCCAUUCUCUCAACACUGGGAGAGACAACUUUAUUUCCUUUUCUGUCUUCAUCUU